GAGCAGACAGAGACAAACACACUAAAACCACCAUCUAUCUAUCUAUCUAUCUAUCUAUCUAUCUAUCUAUCUAUCUAUCUAUCUAUCUAUCUAUCUAUCUAUCUAUCAUCUAUCUAUCUAUCUAUCUAUCUAUCUAUCUAUCUAUCUAUCUAUCUAUGUGUAUGUUACUGUUAUGAAAAAAAAGUUUGAUUUUAAUACAUUAAUAAUAUUACAGUAUUAAUAUGUGUGUUUGUGUGUGUGUGUGUAUAUAUAUAUAAAAUAUGUAAAUUCAGCUAUUAUUUUGUUUUAGUAUGUAAACUUCUGUAAUGUGAAAUAGCUUAUUGAGGAUUUUUUCAUUCACCAGUAACAGACCAGUAUUGCUGAGCUCAACCCUUGUGGUGUCUGUAUCAGCAGUGCAUGUUUAAUCUCAGUUUGUAGUGUCAUGCGCUGCAGCUGCAGCUCUGUUCGUAUGCUCUUUUGUAGUUAAAUGAGCUCCCGUCCCGCGGGGCUCGUCAGACACAACUGUGCCCUUUGACCUGCGCUCAGGUGUCCGGGGCAACAACAAGUGUUUCACAGCCUGACCCGUGUCUGAAUGGAGCGCGUGGAGAGUCUCAGAUCAGCAGUGCUUUCGUGCGCUGCUCGUUUCGGCCAGCGGUGGGCAGCACUGCACUGAUCUGGAGAGACAGAGCCGGACCUGUGACCCUGACACCUGCACAGGGUCUCCUGCAGCAGAUCAGUGCAGCUGUGUCCAUCAGGGCUCAGACAGACGUGUGGCCGUCACUGUCCCGCAGGGGGCGCUGCUGACCGCGGAGACACUGAUGCUCUUCACACUGAGAUCUCUGUCUUGCGGCUCUCUGCAGUGUGAUUUACGCGAAUGUAAAGUGAUGGUCAGCGAGUGGUCAGAAUGGACCUCCUGCUCUCCGUGUAUCCCAGCAUCCUCCGGCAGAUGUGUGUCACUGGAGCGUGUGGAGCACCUGGAGUGUGUGUUGAAACCCUGCAGCGGAGGAUACCGUCAAAGAGAGUGCCGACCUUUGACCUCUGACCCCGGACCGUACUGCAGGAACCUACAGACGCAGUCUCAGAGCUGCAACACCAGCCUCUGUCCUUAUGCACACAUAUACACCUCAUUAUAAUAUGUUAUGUGUGGAUAUAUAUAAUAACAGUCAAAAGUUUUUGAACAGUGAGAUUUUUUAUGUUUUUUAAAGGAUUAUCUUCUGCUCACCAAGUCUGCAUUUAUUUGAUCCAAAAUACAGCAAAAGACAUUAUUUGAUAUUAUUAUUAUGAACCCAUUUUUAUUAGUUUGGACCAGGGUUGUUUUAGUUUCAUUGUUAGAUUAUUAAUAUUUAGAAUUUUCUUUUACUUUUUUAUUUUAUUGUCUUUGUUUUAAUUUUAAAGUGUAAGUUAUUCUGUUGUGUUUUUAUUUUUUAUUUAAAACAUUUUGUAAUUUUGUUGUUUGUUUUUUUCUUUUUUAGUAUAUAUAAUCCUUUUUCAUUUUUAGUUCAUUUUUAUUUUGUAGUAUUAUUUUAGCAUUUUAAAUU
ensembl:lncRNA